UUCUCCUACGGGGCGCAGCAGUGGGGAAUAUUGGGCAAUGGGGGAAACCCUGACCCAGCAACGCCGCGUGAGGGAAGAAGGCUUUCGAGUUGUAAACCUCUGUCCUAUGGGAAGAAGAAAGUGACUGUACCAUAGGAGGAAGCUCCGGCUAACUACGUGCCAGCAGCCGCGGUAAUACGUAGGGAGCAAGCGUUGUCCGGAAUUACUGGGCGUAAAGGGUGCGUAGGCGGCGCAGUUAGUCAGAAGUGAAAUAUCGGGGCUUAACUCCGGGACUGCUUCUGAUACUGCUGUGCUCGAGUGCAGGG
rnacentral:rRNA from 1 species